rnacentral:rRNA from 1 species
AUGAUACUAUACCUUGAUGCGCUUGUCCACGACAUCCCAGUAAGCAACUGCGCGAUACGAUCAAAUGCAUGGGAUAGUGCUCUAAUUUCCAAGGUGAUCAAGAAGGAUACCAUCUCUCCAGGUGUGUUCGGCAAAUUACAACUUAAAGAGGAGUAUAGAGGCACGGAGCAGACACCCCUAUUUGGUGGAAUUUUGCAAGCUGAAGCAUUCGUGGCAUCCAAGUUACCAAUAACCUACAAUCCACAGAAAAAGGCAAAGAUUGCAAAAGUGCAGCCAUCAAUGCAAACCGGGGCAUCACGCCGUGCUCCAAAAAGAAAGAGACGGGGGUCAACUAUACAAGAAGAAGAAGAGUUUGUUGAGGAUGAGUCAGAAGAAGAUGAGGAAAUAGAAGCAGCGAUAGAUGUCGAUGAUGACGGGGACACAGACAUGGAUGAAUCAGAGGAGGAGGACAAGGAUGAGGAUGACAAUGAAGAAGAUGCAGAGGAGGAGGAGGAGGAAUAG